GGAUUUGAGCCUCGGACCUCAGAAUUGUAAGGCCAACGCGCUAGCCAGUUGGGCUACCAUUCAUCCAAUUUCAUGGGACAAUUUGGAGAAUUACAUUGUAUAGACAGGGAGGAAGGAGGUCUUACAUUCAUUGCAAUAACAACAAUUAGCAUCAUGAAAUAUGGAGCCUAUCCCAGCUGUCAACAGGCAGGACACAGCCUACACCCUGAUCUGGUUGCCACCAAAUCGCUGGGCACAUACAAAACAACUAUUCGCGCUCAUAUUCACACUUUCAGAUAAUUUGCCAUCUUUAUUUGACCUACCGAGAGUAUUUUUGGAAUGUGGCAUAAAACUGGAGUACCAAGAGAAAACUCACUCAAGCAUGGGUGAGAACAUGCAAAUUCCACACAGAUGAGGCUGGAUUAUUUUUUUUAACCCAGAUUCUCAGAACUGUGAGGCAGUUGUGCUCCCCAAUCAGUCACGGUGCCAUCCAAGGAAAAGAAGGGCCAAACAUAAUACAGUAUAUCAACAGGAAAAUAGAGUGCCGUGAAAAAUGUAUUGUUAAAUUUUUGUAUAGUCCCCUGACUGUAAUGUUUGAGAUAAUCAAACAAAUGGAAAUAUACAACAAAGAAAACCCAAGUAAACAUAAAAUGUUGUUUUUAAAUAGUGAUAUUAUUGAUUAAAUUUAAAAAAAAAAUCUACAUGCCGCUUUGUGAAAAAGUAAUGUCCCCCUUUGUUGAGUUCAUUGAGGUUAAUCACAUUAUUUUGGUUCAUUUUCAUCAACCACAAGCAAGCCUGGUUACUUCUGGAUCUGCUCAAUCAAGAAAUUACUUAAAUAGAACCUGUUUAGCAAAAUGAAGUCAGCCAAAAUAUCUGUUUCAACAAAAUGCCAUGAUCCAAAUAAAUUCAAGAAGAGAUGGGAAAUGAAGCACAUGAUAUUUCUCAGUCAGGAAAAAAGUUACAAAGACUUCUAUGAAUGUUUAGGAUUCCAGAAAACUCUGUGAAAGCCAUUAUUCACAAAUGGAGAAAACACAGAACAGUUGUGAACUUUCCCAAGAAUGGCCGUCCAAGGGCACAGCGACAACUCAAACCAGAGGUCUGAAAGGAACACAGGACAACAGCCAAAGAAUUGCAGUUCUCCCCUGCCUCAGUUGAGGUAGGGUUCUGAAGAAAAUGGCUGUACAGCCCUUCGUUGGACCAAGUCUGCUUAACCUGUUUAAGGAAAGACACUUAGACACACACAUCAUUUUUAAUAUUACCUCAUUUGUGUUGGCCCACGUGCAGUUGUUCAGUUUUGACCUGUUGGCUCACGUUACCUUCCUGUUCCCACUCAGCUCUCCUAACCUGCUGGUGUCACAUAACCAUUAUCAUUUUUCACAUUUGUUCAUGGAACUUUUCUCUUUUUGCCAUUUCAGUCAGUUGUGCUGAAAAGAGAUUGAGGAAAACCAGUAUGGAAAAUUGAUGGAUGGAUGAAUAGAGUCCCGCACACACGAUUGUCUCUGCUUUCCAGUUGGAACAUGCAAAGAAGGAAAAACUAUUAUUGAAUAAUGCAGAAGCCAAAGCAAGAAACUCAAUCGUUUCUCCUAGAAAUGACACGGCGGACACCAGAUCGAGAGCUGGACUUCACCCAGCUGCAUGUGGCGGCUACAUGAUGUCAUGUGCUGAGGCGAAAGAUAUCUUUGCAAACUAUUCUGUUACCAGAGAUCAUUUAUUCAUUUACAUCUGCUCAUGCUCCUCCCCCCAAAAAGGUGUCGGUUGAAGCGGGACCUUUAUAUUUACAGUAUAUAUAAACAACGGCAAGAGGAGUUUGAUUUGCUUGUAUUGAACACAAUUAAUUUUCCGUAAAUUAUUUCUUGAUUUAAACAUUAUUACAAAAUAUUUAACCAUAUUUUAGAGUAGUAAAUUUAAUAACAUUUAAUAUUAACAACAGACAAUGAUUUUUUUUUUACUUGUAUUCGUAUGUUAGGUUUUCAAUUAUGAAUAAAACGUUAUCCCUCAUUAAAAAUAUAAACUUUUGAUAGCAUGAAUCCCAAAUUCAAGAAAAUAGUUCCAGAAAAUUAAAAAUGAUAUAUGGAAAAAGUGGGGGGUGUUUUUGGUCGCUUAAUCUUUUUACAUAGCUGCUGCUAAAGAGACAGUAAACUAAAUGUAUUUAAUUUUAUUUUACAUAAUUUUAAUAGUUGGAGUUUACAGCUGACAAAGAACAAAAAAUUCACAAAUUUUAGAUCCUAUUUCUAAUAUUGAAAAAGGCAGAGACUGGUCCAUUGUCUUUAAUUGAUAUUUAUAAUAUGAGUUUCACUUUUCUUUUCUAAUUUAAGUUUGAAAUAAACUUUUGUACCAUAGUUGUAUUUAUAUAGUGUCAUCGUAUAUAAAUAUUGCACGACUGUUCUUGCAGUAAUACGAGUGGUCCACGGACUCCCUCUUAAGGUACAUGAAAGAGUCACAGCCUAAGUUCAUUUAAUGUGAAAAUAAACUGAAAAUUUAGAGGUGAGAAUUUGGGGAGUAUUUUAAUGUAACUUUUAUGUGUAAUUGUUUUGGCACCUAACCACAAUCUAAGGACAUUUCCUCCUAUAUUCAGGCGCAGUGGUGAUUUUCAAACUGUCUGGAGGUAUAAAUACUAGCCAAAGCAUGGGACCUUUCAGAAUUGUUUUCAUGCGUUCUACUUUGCAAAUCAUCAAAAGUACAAGCAUGUUGCACUGUCUAGUAGACAAGUUGGUGUACUGCAGGUUUGUUGACCCUUAAAGAAAAAAAGUCAGAAUGAGUUGAAUUAAACUAUCCAUCUAUCCAUUUUCUGAGAUGCUUGUCCUCACAAGGGUCACUGGAGUGCUGCAGCCUAUCCCAGUUAUCUUCGGACAGGAGGCGGUGUAAACCCUGAACUGGUUGCCAGCCAAUUGCAGGGCACAUAGAGACGAAGAGCCGCACUCACAAUCACACCUAGGUGCAAUUUGGAGUGUCCAAUUAAUGUUACAUGUUUUUGGGGUGUAGGAGCAAACCAGAGUGCCCGGAGAAAACUCCCGCAGACACGGGGAGAACAUGCAAACUCCACACAGGUGGGGCCGGGAUUCGAACCCCAGUCAUCAGAAAUGUGAGGUCAACACUCAGAUGCGCCACCAUGCUUGGUUUAAACUAGUAGAUUACAAAAGGUGUGAACAAAUAUGACCUGCUUGCUGUGCAAAAAGUAUUUGUGGCAGGUGCAUUGGCCUGUUCUAUUUUGAAAUUCAAUUUUUUUUUAAAUGUUCCAUGGUCUCAGUAGACUAUACAGUAAGUUUCAGUAAUAUUAUAAUUAUGUUUCUGUCGAAAAGCUCAAAAGUAAAUAUAAAACAGGAAGUUUGGUUUGAAGUGGAAGUUCACUUUGUUCAGGGCAUCUCUUCCAAUUUAAAUGACACAGCGCUAUCUAGUGAAUAAGUGUAAUCUGAUAUUUUUUAUCAUACCUUGACAUGAUUAAAUCAGAAGUAUGAAAUCAGCUUCCCUGUCCUGUCCAUAACUUUAUUCGGUGCUUUUGAAAAGCUGAACCUCCAAUGUAGCAAAAGAAUAUUUAUUCUUUUCCAUCAUAUGUUCCUUGGAAAGUGCAUCGAUUUUACAAAGAGCAAAAUUCCUAUUUAAGACAUGAACACAACUCAACGACAAUCACAGUCAUCUUUUUGUUGGACAGUGUGUGUUCCGUAGGAGGAAAUGUCUCUUCAUGAAUGUAUAAAAAUGAUUUAUGUUCAGAUGAAAAGGGGAGAGGCUGCCAUUUUUGUUCUGUGUUGGUCAGUGGCCACUUGAUGCCUUAACCAAGGUGGUGAACUCUGCGGGGUGACAGAGAGUAAAACACAGAGUCAGCAUUUAUAGACCU